rnacentral:rRNA from 1 species
UACAGAGGGGGCAAGCGUUGUUCGGAAUUACUGGGCGUAAAGGGCGCGUAGGUGGCCUUCUAAGUCGAACGUGAAAUCCCUGGGCUCAACCCAGGAACUGCGUCCGAGACUGGGAGGCUUGAAUCCGGGAGAGGGAUGCGGAAUUCCAGGUGUAGCGGUGAAAUGCGUAGAUAUCUGGAGGAACACCGGUGGCGAAGGCGGCAUCCUGGACCAGAACUGACGAUCAGGCUCGAAAGCGUGGGGAGCAAACAGG